CUGCAGACAGACAUCUGAGGACUUUUAUUUCUCAGAGAAUACACCAGAGCUGGAUGGCUGAGAAGAGAAAGUGCUAAAGGUUGACUUCAAUGGGAAUGUUCCCUGCCGAAGGUGAAGAUUUGACCCAGAAAGGUGACCAGUUCCAAGAAGAAGAAACAUGGAGAGAUGCACUGUUGGGUGGUUGGUGUCAUUUGACUGCUCUACUCAGAAAUCAUUAACGUGAUUUUGCCUGUGUCUGUCAUUGUCUAGCACAAUGCAUCUUCCUGAUAAAAGGUAAACUUUUGGUAUCUGGAGGGUAAAGGAAAUAAAAAAGAGUCAUAGCCCAUAUAAAUCAAGAGAAAAAGGGGAAAAGGAAGCCACUUAGAAGAGUAGGUGUCAUUGAUUGACUGUAAUUUUAAAGGGUCUUUCUUAUGAUGGACAAAUUCUUGGAGUGUUCAUUAACUAAUGGAAUUAUGGUAGCAGAUGACUGCUGUCUCCACAGAACAUCAGGUUAAAAAGUGCAGAGGAAUAAUGGGCUUUUCUCUAUCAUGGAUCAGUGUCCUCACUGUCUGGAGCUCACUCAAAGACCCUGGAAGGGAUCAAGGGGUUUUCACUAUUGAAAUUCAUGUUUGUGCUUUCCUUUUCUUCAGUAACAGUAUGCACACAUGAAC